rfam:Camelus ferus unplaced genomic scaffold scaffold931, whole genome shotgun sequence.
GAGGGUAUAACUCAGUGGUAGAGCACAUGCCUACCAUGCACAGGGUCCUGGGUUCAAUUCUCAGUAUCUCCA